CCUACUCGAUGUGUAUGAAGCAAGCUGCCUCUGCAUCAAGUGAGAGAAGAAGCCGCCACUGAAAAGCUUUUUGGACUGUCAUUUGAAGGACACAAAUGAAAGGACAGGAAUUCUGCUCUGCGGCGUUGGCCUCACUAUUUAUUCAAGAAGCCCUCGGACACCACCAGAAUGUAUGAAGACUCAAAUGAAAGGACAGGACUUCUACUCUGCUGGGUCGGCCUCACUACAUAUUCAAGAAGCCCUCGGACGUCAUCAGAAUGUAUUAAUGUGAAGAGGCAACAAGGGAGAGAUGAACGCUAUCAACAAUGUGGAGAUAGAUCUGGCAGCCGACCGCUUUGGC